rnacentral:rRNA from 1 species
AGGACGAACGCUGGCGGCGUGCUUAACACAUGCAAGUCGAGCGGACAUCUUCGGAUGUUAGCGGCGAACGGGUGAGUAACACGUGGGCAACCUGCCCCUAGCUCUGGGAUAACUCCGGGAAACCGGGGCUAAUACUGGAUAUGACCGAUCCAUGCAUGUGGGUUGGUGGAAAGUUUUUCGGCUAGGGAUGGGCCCGCGGCCUAUCAGCUUGUUGGUGGGGUGAUGGCCUACCAAGGCGACGACGGGUA